rnacentral:rRNA from 1 species
GGUGUGCUAAUACCGCAUAAUCUCUCAGGAGAAAAGCAGGGGAUCGCAAGACCUUGCGCUUUAGGAGCGGCCGAUGCCUGAUUAGCUUGUUGGUAAGGUAAAAGCUUACCAAGGCUUCGAUCAGUAGCUGGUCUGAGAGGACGACCAGCCACACUGGGACUGAGACACGGCCCAGACUCCUACGGGAGGCAGCAGUGGGGAAUUUUGGACAAUGGGGGAAACCCUGAUCCAGCCAUGCCGCGUGAGUGAAGAAGGCCUUCGGGUUGUAAAGCUCUUUCAGCCGGAACGAAACGGUUACGAUUAAUACUCGUAACUAAUGACGGUACCGGCAGAAGAAGCACCGGCUAACUACGUGCCAGCAGCCGCGGUAAUACGUAGGGUGCGAGCGUUAAUCGGAAUUACUGGGCGUAAAGGGUCCGCAGGUUGUUUUGUAAGUCAGAUGUGAAAGCCCCGGGCUUAACCUGGGAACUGCGUCUGAAACUACAAGGCUAGAGUAUGGCAGAGGGGGGUGGAAUUCCGCGUGUAGCAGUGAAAUGCGUAGAUAUGUGGAGGAACACCGAUGGCGAAGGCAGCCCCCUGGGUCAAUACUGACGCUGAGGGACGAAAGCAUGGGGAGCAAACAGGAUUAGAUACCCUGGUAGUCCAUGCCCUAAACGAUGUCAACUAGUUGUCGGGCCUUUACGGGCUUGGUAACGUAGCUAACGCGUGAAGUUGACCGCCUGGGGAGUACGAUCGCAAGAUUAAAACUCAAAUGAAUUGACGGGGACCCGCACAAGCGGUGGAUUAUGUGGAUUAAUUCGAUGCAACGCGAAAAACCUUACCUACCCUUGACAUGUAUCGAAGCCCGCAGAAAAGCGGAGGUGCCCGAAAGGGUACGAUAACACAGGUGCUGCAUGGCUGUCGUCAGCUCGUGUCGUGAGAUGUUGGGUUAAGUCCCGCAACGAGCGCAACCCUUGUCAUUAAUUGCCAUCAUUUAGUUGGGCACUUUAAUGAGACUGCCGGUGACAAACCGGAGGAAGGUGGGGAUGACGUCAAGUCCUCA